UACGAAGGGGGCUAGCGUUGCUCGGAAUUACUGGGCGUAAAGGGCGCGUAGGCGGAUCGUUAAGUCAGAGGUGAAAUCCCAGGGCUCAACCCUGGAACUGCCUUUGAUACUGGCGAUCUUGAGUAUGAGAGAGGUAUGUGGAACUCCGAGUGUAGAGGUGAAAUUCGUAGAUAUUCGGAAGAACACCAGUGGCGAAGGCGACAUACUGGCUCAUUACUGACGCUGAGGCGCGAAAGCGUGGGGAGCAAAC
rnacentral:rRNA from 2 species